rnacentral:rRNA from 1 species
AGCGAACGCUGGCGGCAGGCCUAACACAUGCAAGUCGAGCGCUCGUAGCAAUACGAGAGCGGCAGACGGGAGAGUAACACGUGGGAACGUACCCUUUGGUUCGGAACAACCCAGGGAAACUUGGGCUAAUACCGGAUAAGCCCUUACGGGGAAAGAUUUAUCGCCGAAGGAUCGGCCCGCGUCUGAUUAGCUAGUUGGUGGGGUAACGGCCCACCAAGGCGACGAUCAGUAGCUGGUCUGAGAGGAUGAUCAGCCUCACUGGGACUGAGACACGGCCCAGACUCCUACGGGAGGCAGCAGUGGGGAAUAUUGGACAAUGGGCGCAAGCCUGAUCCAGCGAUGCCGCGUGUGUGAAGAAGGCCUGCGGGUUGUAAAGCACUUUCAGUAGGGAAGAAAAGCCGAGUGCUAAUAUCACUCGGUCUUGACGUUACUUACAGAAGAAGCACCGGCUAACUCCGUGACAGCCGCCGC